UACGAGGGGGGCAAAUGUUGUUCGGAAUCACUGGGCGUAAAGGGAGCGUAGGCGGGUUGUUGCGUCGACUGUGAAAACCCGUGGCUCAACCAUGUGGUCUGCAGUCGAUACGGGCAGGCUAGAAUUCGGUAGGGGAGACUGGAAUUCCUGGUGUAGCGGUGAAAUGCGCAGAUAUCAGGAGGAACACCGAUGGCGAAGGCAGGUCUCUGGGCCGAUAUUGACGCUGAGGAGCGAAAGCAUGGGGAGCGAACAGG
rnacentral:rRNA from 1 species